rnacentral:rRNA from 1 species
AAGUUUUCGGAUGGAAUUUGAAAUGACUGAGCGGCGGACGGGUGAGUAACGCGUGGGUAACCUGCCUCAUACAGGGGGAUAACAGUUAGAAAUGGCUGCUAAUGCCGCAUAAGCGCACAGGACCGCAUGGUCUGGUGUGAAAAACUCCGGUGGUAUGAGAUGGACCCGCGUCUGAUUAGCUAGUUGGUAAGGUAACGGCUUACCAAGGCGACGAUCAGUAGCCGACCUGAGAGGGUGACCGGCCACAUUGGGACUGAGACACGGCCCAAACUCC